rnacentral:misc_RNA from 1 species
GAUGAAGAACGUAGCGAAAUGCGAUAAGUAGUGUGAAUUGCAGAAUUCAGUGAAUCAUCGAAUCUUUGAACGCACAUUGCGCCCCAUGGUAUUCCGUGGGACAUGCCUGUUCGAGCGUCAUUUACCCCCUCAAGCUCCGCUUGGUGUUGGGCGUCUGUCCCGCUUCGCGCGCGGACUCGCCCCAAAGGUAUUGGCAGCGGUCGUGCCAGCUUCUCGCGCAGCACAUUGCGCUUCUCGAGGCACCGGUGGGCCCGCGUCCAUCAAGCUCACCCCCCCAGUUUGACCUCGGAUCAGGUAGGGAUACCCGCUGAACUUAAGCAUAUCAAUAAGCGGAGGA